GAACCGCAAAAAAUCUACCCGUGUAUACUGUGACAGCAACACUAAACAGUAUACAUGAAUUUUGGCUAAUUGUCAUCCUAAUAAUUCAAUUUGCUUCAUAAACCAAUGCAAUAGUUUAAAACUUACAGACUUAAGGUAAUAUCGUCGACCGAACUGAGCCCUAGAAAAAGACUGCUUCUUCCUCGUACCUUGUCCCAGAAAAAUGUUAUUUCGUACCUUGGACUGGAUCCGAUGCGACGACUGGUAACCAGUUGACCGGUUUUUAAGGGAAAUUAUUUUGCAAAACGAAACAAAAUUUCAAAUGUAUUUUAAUGAACUGGUUAGUUUAUAUGGUUCUUAUUGAAAUCUACACAUCGAUAAAAACUUUUUCAAGUCUAAAUUUAUCGAUUUGUGGCCACUCAUCUCUUUUUUGAUUAACAGAUCAUAUCGUUGUUGCCAUUAAGUCUUAGUUCUUCAUUCCUAUAAUUAUAUUUACCUUACAGGUGCCCUUUGCCACUAAAAAAAUAUAAAAAGUAAGUUGAAAAUUCUACUUGUAAGUAUACAUUGUUACAUGAACAGUUAGCACAGUACAUCAGAUUGGGAUAACACUCAUGUGAAGUGUCAUUUCAGGUUGGGAACAACCCCUCAAUGUAAUAACUAUCGCAUUUAAUGUGGGGUACAUAUUUUUCAAGUGAUAAAUUUGGUUGUUGUUGAAAGUUGUAAAAAGUAAAACACCUUUUUAUAGUGUGUGAUAACAUUUUGUGAGGGAAUUCGAUGUUUGCUAUACCACUGUUCAUUUCAACGCACUUUAUGACGAUACCACUUUAUCAAUAUGAAUGAAAUUUUUUGCAGUGUUUUAAGAAAUAACUUUACUUUAAAUUCACCUACCAUUUGUGAACCAUUAAAUGUUUCACAAGGACGAAUUUUCUGUAUAAAGUCAAUAAUUGUGUGAACUUUUGAAGCUCAAACUUUUUAUAGCUUUAAAUACGCCAAUGAAAGGUACGAAAACUAUACCAAUACAGAACGAUAUAUUUUUGAAAUUGUAGCAAAACUUUUGGUCGAAAAAUUUUAAUUCGUUAUUGCAUAAAUAUCAACUUGAAAUAUCUGUCAUUUUCUCCCUACCCAGUUUACCCCUAUUACUUCUUAUAAUGUGGACAGGACAUUGUUAUGCAAUUUGAUUGUAUUACGUUCUUUUUGAUUACCUUCAAACUGUUCAUGCUUUUCGUACGAGUAUAUAAUAAUUGAUUAAAUCAGACCGUGCGUGAAUGUGUACAGUAAAUUAAAUGACCUGCAUACUGGACACUGGACCAGUCCAUAUUACGUUUAUCAAUUAAACUUAAGGUAUGAAAGGUAACAAUUGCCACUUUUUUAUAUUUUCACAAUAAUUUUCCGAAUUCACAUUAGAUAAAAUAUUUUUGAAAGCCUAUUGGGGAGAAAAAAGGGAAAGUUUACUGUUUUUACGUUCUAUUCCAUUAAAAAUGCCAUUUUUCGAAGAUAAAUGCAGAAAAAAUUUUUAUGCACGGCUACGCCAGGUAAAAUUGUUGUUUAUCCUAACAAAAAAAUACAUUUUUCAGUUUCAUUCGAAUAUUAUAAUAAUAAUAAAUCCCAAAUUUAUGUAGUCAUUAGAUAAAGUCCUUAAAUGUAUGAUCUGACUAUUUUUGGACAUCAAAAGACAAUACGAUCGUCUUAAGGUCAAUUUCGUCUACCUCACACAAUCUUGUUAGGCACUAUAGUACAAAUCAGCACAUACAUUGUAUUUGAAGAAUAUUUUUCUAAAGAAUUAUACAUCUACACAAUGUAUCUACUAUCUAGUAUAAUAUGGUCAAAACAUGUCUUAGAACUUGUUAUAUUCAUUAGCUUCAAGCUUACAUGUAAAUCCAAUUUUAAUCCAAAUUCCAGUUGAAUUAUUAGAUAUUUUUAUACAACCGCAAAAAUAAAAAAAAAAUUGGUCGUAUAUUGGUAUCAUAUUGUCGUCGUCUGCGUUGUUGUCAGUGCGUCUGAAGACAGAUUGUUUCAGGAUAAUAACUUUUGAAUAAGUGAAAAGAAGUCAAUAAAAUUUUAACACAAUGUUUAUAAUUCUCAAAAGGAAGCUUGGGAUUGAUUUUAAUGUUAUGGUCUCAAAGGUUAAGGAAUUAGGGGCCCAAAGGGGCGAAAAACAGCAUUUAUCUAGUUUCAGGACAAAAAGUUGUGUAUUAGUAUUUCAAUUGUUUUGAAAUUGUACCACAAUGUUUAAUACCAUAAGUAGAAGGUUGGGAUUUAUUUUUAGGGGUUCUUGGGCAAACAGUCUAGGAAUGAGAGCCAAAAAGGGGCCAAAAACAAGCAUUUUUCUAGUUUCAAGACAAUAACUUGUGUGUGUAACUGUAUGGAUCUCUCUGACAUUGUACCACAAUUUUCCAUAUAACACAGGGAAGGCUUGAAUACAGUUUGGGGUUAAUUUCACCGAAUAUGUAGGAAUGAGGGGCCAAAAAAUGUCCAAAAAGAAGCAUUUUUCUAGUGUACGACAAUAACUUGUGUUUAAGUGUAUGAAUCUCUAUAAAUUUUUACAUGAAGGUUCAAUACCACUAAAGGAAUGUCAAUGAAGGUUGGGAUUGAUUUUGGGGGUUAUCCAGGGCUCACGCUACCAGGCGACUUGGGCGAAGAAGUCGCCCUACCGACCGUCACUUCGCUUUCCUUGACCCCCAAAAGCGAAAACAAGUCGCCCUGUUCUUGACGAAAGUCGCUUUCAGUCGCUUCCGAAGUUCCGUCAUCGGACAUUUUCAAUUUUUACCAAGUUGAUGAAACAUUAAUUUUUUACUGAUAAUUAAAGAAAUUCAGACAUAAACUAUUCAUUAUCUUUAGAAAAGAGGUUGAAGCAUUGUUUUCGCAGUGUGUAUCAGGUUAUUUGAUAAAAAUACAACUUUUUAUCACUUCGUGAAUUUUCGCAAAUUCCGGUGCUUGUUACUCGAAAACGUACAUCAACCUAAAUUUCGGCGGCAAAAUAAGUUUGUUACUUCAUUUAAACGUGAUAAAAGUUGCCUCCAGUAAAUGUUUAAUCCAUUUAUUGCAUUAAAACCGUCAUGUUCCUUUCCAAAUAACUUGUCAAACAUCGUUUAUUUUUGUAAAUUUUCUUGCAUUCGUCCGCCAUUGACUGAUUUCUAAACUACGGAUCUGAACCGGACCAGCUAUGACCGAAAUCCGUACUUUUACAAUAAUUACUACGGACGCACGGAUGGAACAGCUGACAGAAGAAUAUUGAUCCCAAAGGGAAAAAUUACGCAUCCCACACGCAUUAAGAGACUUUUGCUUACAUCUAAUUGAUUGGUGUAUAUAAUUCCCUAUAUUUUUUAUGAAUGUUUCAAACUAUUGAUUAAAGUUGCUUAACUCUGAGACUAUUAUACUAAUAUCAAUAUAUUAUGGCCAGCUUAAUAACUUUUAUAUUUUUUUUAUGAGAAACACUGAAUUUCAUACACAAGAUAAUUUUUAAUUAAAUUGUAAUUGAUAUAAUUUCUUUACAUUUUUUAAAAUAAUUUUUUUUUUUUAGUGCUAGAUAUUUAGUUGGUAGUUUCUCACAAGAACCUUAGUAAAACUUAAACAACUUUUAAUUUCAAAAUGUUACUUUAAUUGUAAUUUUUUACUCAUAUGAAUUGAACAACAUAAAAGAACAUUAUUUACAUAUGGCCCUUUAUACUAUUGUAAAAUCCAAACAUUGUAGCGCACCCGCGCGAAUGAGCACCAGUGGCGGAUCAGGGGGGGGGGUUCCGGGGGUGCGCACCCCCCCUUUAUUUUUGCCGAUCAAUGCAUUUGUAUCGGGACAUAUGUUUUGCACCCCCCCUUUGCCCUGGGUGCCCUGGGUUAGCACCCCCCCUUUCGAAAAUUCCUGCAUCCGCCCCUGAGCACUUCUCUUUCAAAUCUCACCACUUCUCCCUAUCAGUUUCAAAAAGAGAAGUCACUUCUCCCUAUAAUUCUGAAGUAGUGUGAGCCCUGGUUAUCAUGGUCCCAAUAGUUUAGGAAUUGGAGGCCAAAAAGGGGGUCCAAAAUAAUCAUUUUUGUAGUUUUCAUACCAUGAAGGGAUGGUUAGUAUUGACUUUGGGGGCUAUGGCUCAAAAUGUUUCGGAAUUAGGGGCAAAAAAGGGGAAAAACUAGGUAUUUCUGGUCAAUGGACAAUUAAGACAAUUUUAAAGCAGUGUAAGGGAGGUAAUUCUAAAACAUUUAACAUACAAUGUUGGGUAUGUUCAGAUUUGCCUCCCUUACACUACUUGUAUAUUACAAUGUAUGCAUGAAGAAAUGUCAGGUUUUGGACUAUUUGCAAAAAAAGGGAGGUGAUAGUUGUUUUCAAUUUUUUUUUUUCAAAUUUCUCAAAUUCCAAAUUUUUGAAAAGUUGAAAGAAGAAAUCUUUAAUUGCACAAUAUUGCACUAUAGAUUUGUAAGAUCUUGACAUUUGUUUAGUGUCAGAAACUCAUAUUAUGUCAAAAAUUUGAUCACAAUCCAAAUUCAGUGCUGUAUCAAGCUUGAAUGUUGUGUCCAUACUUACCCCAAUUGUUCAGGGUUCGACCUCUGCGGUCGUAUAAAGCUGCACCCUGCGGAGCACCGGGUUUUACAUGUAUAAACCCUAAAAUGUAUAUAUAUUUUCCAGAAUAAAAUUGGGGAGUUAACACAUGAAAUGUUGUUUAUUUUUAUCUAAUUGAUGAUUAAUUAUUAAAUUUUAUUUUGAUAUGGCUAAGUAUUCAGUAUAGUGUUGUUAGUGUGUGACAACAUGUAUGAUUUUAAAAGUAGCUGUUUCAAUCUUAAUAACAUGAUUUUCUGAAAGGAGAAUGAUUCUAGUUUAGGGUUUUACAUGUAAAAAGAUAGUUAUUUACAUGUAGUCAGAAAACAUAAAAUUAGACCUAAAUAGCAUGUUGGACAGAGGUUAUGUUGGACGUAACAGGACAUUGAAAAAUUGAAUAUUUUCCUUUUAUAUGAAGGCCUAGUUAAUAAAUAUAUCAAUUUUUCUCUGACAGUUCAUAAGAUCUUCAAUUAAAGUAUAUCAUUUUGUUAAAUUUUUCAAAAACUAACUUAUAAGUUGGAAAAAUCUUAAAUAUGUCGGACAAACGGGGACAUUUUUGGAUGAGAAUUUGUUCCAUUUGCAUCAUUGAAAGUCAAAAACAAAAUCAAAACUAUGCUGUUUAUACUAAUAUCUACAGCUGGUGUUCCUCAGCAAGAGGUAAAAUAGUUCAUUAUUAAAUAAAUGGAUAAAACAAAACCAUAAAAAACUAGGACAAACAUAGGACAGAUUAUAUUCCCUGUCGGACAAACAUAGGACAGAAUUCAUUAAUUUACUGAUCCUAAUGGGAUUUAAAAAUGGGCACCUCUUAAGAAGAGACUAGGAAGGGUCUGAGAACUAUUUUUUAGUUUAUGUGGACUUGUUAGUUGUUAACAAGGUUCCUUUUACUUUUAAAAAGCUGUUACGUCCGACAUUAGAAGAUUUUGUCCUACGGUUCGUCAACAGAAAAUUAAUGGACUCUUGUUACGUCCUAAUUUUCAAAUUAUGUCAAAUUUAGACUGUCAACAGUUUAAAACUCUUUAUUUUCAUUUAUAUGUAGUAUUUAGGUUAAGUAAUUGUCAAAGUAGAAGCGAAUUGAUUCUGUGACUUGUGGUAGCCAUUUUAGAGAAUAUCUUGGAUGUUGGACGUAACAUUUUUUUGGACAAAUGUUGGAUGUAACUUCCAUCUCUUGGUUGGACAGAAAGAGUGUUCACCCCUUCAAUGUCGUUGAUGUCAAGUAAAAAGAAACAGUUGACAGCAAUACCGUAUGCACAUCGCGAUUGUCGUAAAAUUUGUUGUCAUAAACAUUAAAAAAAACUUAAACUGAGUUGGCAACUUGCAAAUGAAAAUUGAAAUUUUCGCCCGUAAUGGUUGGACAGAUUUUUCAAGAGUAAACUUUAAUGACAAUUCCUGAAAAAAAUAAAACUUUCUGCUGUAACUUCAUGAUGAAUUAUCACAUUUUAGUUAAUAAGCUCAAGCCUCAAGAUAUUUUGUGCAUUUAAUUCCCUCUAUUGUUACAUAACUUAUAUUUCAUUCACAUAGGAAGAAGACAGAAAAUGUUAGUCCAACAACAUGACCAUUAAAUGUUUUUAAUCCUUAUUCGAUGAUUUUCAUGUUGAGUGUCCUUCCUUGCACCCUAUUGUUACCUGAAAAUCCUUUUUACCUAGUUGCAUUCAACAAAAAGGUUAAUAAAACAAUUUGAUGUUGGGUAUCCGACCUGUACAAAAUAAGCAUCAAAUUAGGAAUUCAAACACUUCAUUUAGAAAAUACUUUAUUCAACAAUAAACUUUUCAUAUGAGACUGUUUAUAUAUCUCUUCAUCAUGCAGUGAAUUGAUUAGCCCGCAUUAAAACUCAAAAUAUAAAAUAUGAAAAAUGCAUUUUUCUGGGACACCCAUUGAAACAGCACUUUACUGAAUACUUAGCCAUAUACGAAGAUGUGGUACAUGUAUCAUAUAUGAGUGCCAAUGAGACAACUCUCCAUCCAAGUCACAAUUUUUAAAAGUAAACUGUCUUCAACAUAGAGCCUAAGCUCAUACCUAACAGCAAUCUGUAAAGGGCCCCAAUAUGUUCUAGUGUCAAACCAUUCAAAUGGGGAAACCAACUGUCUAAUCUAUAUAAAAAACGAGAAACACUUAUGAACCACAUAAACAGUCCACAACCACUGAACAUCAGAUUAUUACUGUUAAUUGGUAUUUAUACACAUACAUGUAUAUUUGGUAUUAUUCUUGUGUAUGAAAAUCAUGAUUGUUGUUUUAUUUUCCUUUGAAGUAAAUACUGCAGCCAGGUACAUGUAUGAGUAAAACUUUGAAGAAUUUGAACGAGAAACACGAAUGAUAAUUGCUUUUAGCAACUUAGCCCUUUGAUCUCACUUUAUUUAAUUUUUGAAACAAUGAUGAUUCACUAACUAAAACAAAAUUCAGAUUUAUUCAACAACAAAAAUAACAUUGUUAGAAAAGCAAGAGUUCAACAUCUCUAUCUUUACACAAAAAGGAUAAAAACAAAACUUAAAAGCAAGAUAGGGGGCACAAAAACUUCCAAAACAGGAUACAUGUACAUGUAGGUGGGAAACAUGUAUAUAUAUAUAUAUAUAUAUAUAUAACUACAUUUUUGUGCAUGGUUAGAGUUAUCUUCCUUUGUCCAUAAUAAAUGACUUAAGGUGGUACCCAACACCUGCACUAAAAUUAAUUUGGCUCUUUUAAUUUUCAUAAAAUUUUGACAAAGUAUUUACUUUAACCCUUUGACAGUUUAAUUUUCAUAAAAUUUUGACAGGGUAUUAACUUUGACCCUUUGACAAAAAUAUAAAAAUUUCCAAAAUAAAAUUUUAUCAGAAAAAUUACACUGGUUAUAUAUAGCAGUUUGACAAACAAGUUAAUUUUGAUCAUUGAGAGACUAAGUCACUUAAUAUUCCCUUAACAUCACAAUGUAAUUAAAAUGUUUAGCUGAUUUUACAGUUAUCUCCCUGUAGUGUUAGGUACCACCUUAAUGCUCACAAGCACUUUGAUUAGGAAACAGUAUUUUGAAACACUGUUUUAAAAAUUACCACACUGGUUGCAUACCUGUCAACCUGUGACGAUGAAAAUGCAGGUCAUGACCUGCAUUGAAGAAUGAAAUCUCAGGUCAUAACGCGUACAAACUUUUUCGAGCUGAAUUUCAGUAUAUAGGGGACAUUUUUCUUAUAAUUAAACAAAGUUUUCAAAACAUGUUCACUUGGUUAAGUUAUUUUAAAUCUUAUUAAUUAUUAUUUCAUUGCACUUAUGAUAAAUUUGUUUAACACUACCUUAUGUUGUUUACUUAUUGAUAUUUAUGUCUCUGCUUGUAUUUUUGUGAUAUAUUUCAAGCUCAUAUACUAGAAUAGAUUAAGUGUUAAAAAUUUGAGUCCUUUACACUUUAUGUUUUCAAAAAUAUUUGAAAUGAGAGCAUAAUAAAAUACAGUUAAACAUUUAAGGCGAAGUGUACGUAAUUAAACUACACAAUGGAUUUUUUUAAAAUUUCACAUACGAAUUCUGCUUGUAAAAUUACACCAGAAAAUUAAAUAAAAAAAGGGGGUAACCGUUUUCGUUUUUGAGAUACGAGCCGUUGAAAUUAACUACAUGAUACACCAAAAUUACAAAGGAUAUAUAAGGAAAAUCAUCAAAAUUAGCAGGUAUUUUUACAUUAUCAAGAUUUUCUAUUUUGUUGGACAAUGGAUUUUUUCUAAAUUGAUUACGAUUUAAAAAGAAAGCGAAUCCAUCGGUGCAAAGAAAGUCUUAGCACCGUUUAGUUUUUACGCUAUCUCUGUUGAAGUUUAGUUUUUUGGCCGGAACAUUAAAAUUCUGGCGACGUCAUUGCUGCAGUAAAGUCGCCACAACUCUACGUCGAAACUCUAUAUAACCGUACAAUGUCGUAGCAAUGGCGUGCGUGUGUAUUACCCAUCUUCCUAUGUAUUACAAAUGAUCUAAGGCUAUAAAUUGAUAAGGAAAUAAACUAAUUAAUUUUAAAGAAUAUUUCUGUCGCAAAAGAACAUGCAAGUUUGUAAAUUAAUUUACCGCAAAUGAAAGAAAUUUACCGUAAACUCUAAUUUAAUCUUUUCUAUAUUAGAGUGAUUUCCGAACCUUUUUCAAUGUUGGCAUGGAUUGUUUAAUUCUUUUAUGAAUCAAAUAUCGAGUUUGAAUUUGUCCCGGUUAACACAGUGUGGUCAGAAUGAAUUGAUCGGCUUUAAUACUAGGAUCGGGUAUUCACCUCGUUUUCAAUCUUACUUCUGCAUAUAGAUAUAGAAGAUGUGGUUGAGUGCCAAUAGACAACUCCAUACAAAUAACAAUUUAAAAAGUAAACCAUUAUAGGUUAAAGUACGGCCUUCAACACGGAGCUUAGCUCACCGAACAAAAAGCUAUAAAGGCCAAAAUUACUAGUGUAAAACCAUCAACGGGAAAACCAACGUCUAAUCUUAUAAACAAAACGGAACGAGAAACACGUAUAUAUUAAUAAACAAACGACAUUACUGUACAUCAGAUUCCUGACUUAGGACAGGUGCAACAUUGUGUUUGAUUUAAAAAAGUGACCUUUUCUUUUUUUUCAUGUUCGACAUUUCUGCAUGUUGUUAAUCUGAGAUUUGCACACAAUAUAGUAUACAUCAUAAACCUAUUUCAUUAGUCAUGUUUACACACAUGCUAAAGACGCAUCUCUGCCAAAACAUAUUUUAUUUUACAAAAUUUCCAAUCUCGAUCACUUUCCCUUUUCUUUAACUAAAUGACAAAGAAUGAUGUAGUGUUUGCUGAAUGAAGUUUCAGUAACAUAAGAAAAUAUUUGUUUGUUCCAUGCAUUAUUUGUUAAAAAUCCACAUUUAAGGAUUUAAAUUGAUUGAUUGAUUGUUGGUUGCUUAACGUCCAGUGGCAAAUAUGUCAUGCAUGUUCAGGACGAGAACAAGUUAAUAAUAAAUACAAUAAGAAGUUUUGUUCAUAACAGAGGCCAUCCGGGAUGAUGGUCUGGGAAAUUUGGAGUGCCAAUAGAAAAUGAGAGUACAUGUAUAUUGGAUAGGGACAGAAAUUUUGCCGCGUGCAACAGUCCACAUAUUCAACCCUUAAAUUAUAGUUGUUGCAAUGGUUUUUAACAGGCAUAGAGUGUGGCACUCUCUUACACGAGCAUCGGACCCCCCCCCCUGUCCUGGGUUUGGACCCCCUUAUUUUUAAAUGGCUGGAUCCGCCCCUGCUAGUACACCACAUGCUUCUCAAUUCUUGUAUUAUGAUCUAUUAUCAUGAACUAAGUGAAAGCAUAGAGCUGACCGAGUGCGAGAUCUUCCUGGAUUAUCAUUGACUCAGAGGUCGUUUAAGCAUCCCUUGCAGUAGACUUCCGUUAAAUUAAAAAAAAUCUUUAAAAUGCUAUCGAAAUGUAUUAAAAGUCUGAACUCAUUUCACCUCUCAUUCCACUAAACAAAGUGCCACAAAACUUUCCUGACCUCUUUUCUUUAACCGUAAUGAUAUAUAAUUCUACUCUUUCAUAAUCUUGAAUUGAGACUUGGGAAUAAAACGUUACUUCAAAAUUACAUUUUUUUCUCUAAUUUGAAAUGAUGCACACAGGCACAAUAAAAGAAAACAAAUUUUGCUAUCUCUUCGAAAUUGGAAUUUGAAAAAGAAGAAAUGACGUGUUAUAUUUUUAUCAUACAUGAAUCAUGUGUAUUUGUACUUUCAAUUCCAAUUUGGUUCUAAAUUUAGAUUCAGUUUUCCCAUAAAUUUCGGACGGAAUAGAAGACACCUGUUUAUUUUCUGCACAUGUAGAAAAAGUUGAAAACUGGAAGUUGAAUGACAUAAUUUUUACUUAUUCUAAGAUAAAUGUUUAGAGUGAUCACUUUUUAGUUUACCAUGAGUAUUUUUUUGGGGCCUAAUUUGUUAAUUUUCGUCUUUGUUCUUCCGACUUGUAAGUGUUGCCACAGUCGUUUGAAUUUUAGUGAUAAAUAAACAAAAAAAAAUAGAAAAAAAGUCGCUAGAUAUAUUAUAUAUAUAUCUAGCGACUUUUUUCUAUUUUUUUGCCACAGUCGUUUGAAUUUUAGUGAUAAAUAAACAAAAAAAAUAGAAAAAAGUCGCUAGAUAUAUCUGUGGUGUUGCCCUAGACUAGUGGUCAAAUUAUAUUCUCUUGGUAUCGUCUUAUUUUCUAAAUGGAUAUAAAACAUGUCCUAAAAUUUUCAUUUGCACAAAAUACGAACAUGUCAACGUUUUUUUAAUCUAAUAAUUAAUUUCACAUGCCAUUCAUUAAUUGUUCGGUAACCUUAAUCUUUAUGUUGAGUACUGUGUGUUUUCGUUCAAAACUACGGUUUUUAAAACGAUAUUGUUGGGUCAAUUCAGGUUUCAUUUUAAUUAAUUUGAUAUCAAUAUAAGUAGAAUCGUCACAUGUUUAUUUAUUUAUAAUUCUGUUGUGAGGCGUUUUUACAUUUAAUCUGUUGAUAUCAUAAGUUUUACACGAAAUGCCUUUCAUGUCUCAUGCGUCAAAAAAAAAAAAAAAAAAAUCAACUGGUAUUAAAGUCAGGCUGCAAGAAACAAUAGAAUACUUUGAUUUUUAACUGGAGUAAUUCAGAUAAUUUCUCAUGAUUAGAAUUUUUAAGACAGCACGGGCGUGCUUGUUGGAUUUAUGAUAGACCGCACGAAGUAUUUUCUCUUUCGUGUGUCCUUUCUUGGAGUAAGGGAGAUAACUAGCGUAACUAACGUCGAACGUUAUUAAUCCCGUAUUCCGCUAGGGGCGUGCAAUUACGUACACUCGCCUUAAAGGAAGUUUAAAUAAAAAAAAAAAUUUAUACUUUUUUUUAUAUUUGUAUAAAGGUAUGAAAAUGAUGUAAAGUUAUAUUUCAAUAUGUAUUUGAAUUCUAUUUGUUUUAAAUUUAAUCUUUUUUACCCCCAAAAACAUAAAUAUAAGGAGUAAAUGUGAAUGGUGACAAAAAAGGGGUAGUAACUCAAGUUGAAAAAUGUUUGUAAAACAACAGUAAAAUUUAUUUACGACCUAAAGCUGAGUAAUUGGUGUUAAUUAACAGUGUGUUUGACGCCAAAGCUGUCAGGUGAAGCCAUGCACUUAAUGGGUCACUUAAUUUGACAGUUUACACAGCUAGCUGAACUUCCUGUUCAUGGAAGAAUUACGAAUUUGUCUGUAUUUCAUAGGAAAAACACUUAUGAAAUUAAUAUGAAGGCUAAGAAAUCCAGGUGAAAACGGGUCAUAUUCAGAAUUCCCUGGUUAUUCAAUGACCCGGCGGGUGUCCCGGGUGAUCCCUCAAAAUCUUGGGUCACACACGCAGAAUAAGGGUCAGUUGACAGGUAUGAGGUUGAACAGGAGAGUCAUUGUUUUGUUUUUACUGUUUAACCAUCCUAGGACAUUUCAACAUGUGAUAUGAUAUAUAUUAACUAUUUUAGAUUCCAUAGUAAAUCCCCAAAAUGAGACCUGACCAACACAAACAGAAAAAGAAUACACAGUAUAAAAAGAAACAUGGGAUGACUGAGAAAAAUAAAGAUGCUAAAGAUAAAAAAGAUGGGAAACCUGAAGGUUCAAAACAGCCAUACAGGUCUGAUGCUUCAAAGGGGGAACAAACAAAGUCUACAAACAAGUUUAAUAAUAGAGGAAACUUAUCUGAUAGUAGUGAGGUAAGGUCAUAGGUUAAU
rnacentral:lncRNA from 1 species